rnacentral:lncRNA from 1 species
CUGGGAGAGAGGAGAUGUCUCUGAUGCCUGAGUCAUUAAGGGAAUAGGAAAGACUAGCCAAAGACUAGCCCUGCUCUGCUGGAGACAGGAUAGCACAUUCCAAGAAGCAACGGGGGUGUAACAUGGCCUGGAUGGCACCCAGCGAGCAGAGGUGGAAUCCUGCAGCCUGUGUCUCGGUUGGAUCUCUCUCCUCUUCCCCCAGUUCUUGACAGAGCACUGGCCUGUCUCACUUUACAGCCCUCUCUUUCCCCCAGACUCCAGGAUACAGAAUUCACUUUCACCAGAAACUCUCACCACCUCCAGCCCCGGUAAUGUUCACCUCUGGUCCAGGUUUCAAUCGCCCCUCAUGGCCUCCCUUGCUAUCAGUAUUCAAUCCGUUGCCCAUGGCCUACCAAUCUUGAGUUUCUACUGCCAAAAACUUUUGGUCAGCAACCUUUUUUGUUUUUUUGUUUUUG